GCCUGGGUGGCUCAGUUGGUUGAGCGUCUGACUUUGACUCAGGCCAUGAUCUCCCGGUUCGUGAGUUCGAGCCCUGCGUCGGGCU
rnacentral:tRNA from 1 species